rnacentral:rRNA from 1 species
CAGCCGCCACGGGAAUACGGAGGGCGCGAGCGUUACCCGGAUUUACUGGGCGUAAAGGGCGUGUAGGCGGCCUGGGGCGUCCCAUGUGAAAGGCCACGGCUCAACCGUGGAGGAGCGUGGGAUACGCUCAGGCUAGAGGGUGGGAGAGGGUGGUGGAAUUCCCGGAGUAGCGGUGAAAUGCGCAGAUACCGGGAGGAACGCCGAUGGCGAAGGCAGCCACCUGGUCCACUUCUGACGCUGAGGCGCGAAAGCGUGGGGAGCAAACCGGAUUAGAUACCCCCGUAGUCCCUGUCUCUUAUAC